rnacentral:rRNA from 1 species
GACGUAGGGCGCGAGCGUUGUCCGGAUUUAUUGGGCGUAAAGAGCUCGUAGGCGGCUUGUCGCGUCGAAUGUGAAAUCUCAGGGCUCAACUCUGACAUUGCAUUCGAUACGGGCGGGCUAGAGUUCGGUAGGGGAGACUGGAAUUCCUGGUGUAGCGGUGAAAUGCGCAGAUAUCAGGAGGAACACCGAUGGCGAAGGCAGGUCUCUGGGCCGAUACUGACGCUGAGGAGCGAAAGCGUGGGGAGCGAACAGG